GAUUAAGUUAUUAAGGGCGCACGGUGGAUGCCUUGGCACUAGAAGCCGAUGAAGGACGUUACUAACGACGAUAUGCUUUGGGUAGCUGUAAGUAAGCGUUGAUCCAGAGAUUUCCGAAUGGGGGAACCCAGCAUGAGUUAUGUCAUGUUAUCGACAUGUGAAUUCAUAGCAUGUCAGAAGGCAGACCCGGAGAACUGAAACAUCUUAGUACCCGGAGGAAGAGAAAGAAAAAUCGAUUCCCUGAGUAGCGGCGAGCGAAACGGGAAGAGCCCAAACCAACAAGCUUGCUUGUUGGGGUUGUAGGACACUCUAUACGGAGUUACAAAAGAACAUGUUAGACGAAUCAUCUGGAAAGAUGAAUCAAAGAAGGUAAUAAUCCUGUAGUCGAAAACAUAUUCUCUCUUGAGUGGAUCCUGAGUACGACGGAGCACGUGAAAUUCCGUCGGAAUCUGGGAGGACCAUCUCCUAAGGCUAAAUACUCUCUAGUGACCGAUAGUGAACCAGUACCGUGAGGGAAAGGUGAAAAGUACCCCGGAAGGGGAGUGAAAGAGAACUUGAAACCGUGUGCUUACAAGUAGUCAGAGCCCGUUAAUGGGUGAUGGCGUGCCUUUUGUAGAAUGAACCGGCGAGUUACGAUCUGAUGCAAGGUUAAGCAGCAAAUGUGGAGCCGCAGCGAAAGCGAGUCUGAAUAGGGCGUUGAGUAUUUGGUCGUAGACCCGAAACCAGGUGAUCUACCCUUGGUCAGGUUGAAGUUCAGGUAACACUGAAUGGAGGACCGAACCGACUUACGUUGAAAAGUGAGCGGAUGAACUGAGGGUAGCGGAGAAAUUCCAAUCGAACUUGGAGAUAGCUGGUUCUCUCCGAAAUAGCUUUAGGGCUAGCCUCAAGUGAUGAUUAUUGGAGGUAGAGCACUGUUUGGACGAGGGGCCCCUCUCGGGUUACCGAAUUCAGACAAACUCCGAAUGCCAAUUAAUUUAACUUGGGAGUCAGAACAUGGGUGAUAAGGUCCGUGUUCGAAAGGGAAACAGCCCAGACCACCAGCUAAGGUCCCAAAAUAUAUGUUAAGUGGAAAAGGAUGUGGCGUUGCCCAGACAACUAGGAUGUUGGCUUAGAAGCAGCCAUCAUUUAAAGAGUGCGUAAUAGCUCACUAGUCGAGUGACACUGCGCCGAAAAUGUACCGGGGCUAAACAUAUUACCGAAGCUGUGGAUUGUCCUUUGGACAAUGGUAGGAGAGCGUUCUAAGGGCGUCGAAGCAUGAU
rnacentral:rRNA from 1 species